UCGGGAUUCGGAGAUGGCGUUCCUCCGCGCAGUUCCAUCAAACCGUAGCGAUUGCUACUGAUGACGCCUACAAGAAC
ncrna:Xanthomonas oryzae pv. oryzae KACC10331 Fluoride riboswitch